CUUUGUGUUGGGCUGUUUUGUGCAAGCUUUCCUCUUUGUUCCAGUCCAACAUGAGGUUAAGGAAAUACUACUCCCAGCUGUUGUUGCAGAAGUGAACUAAACAAAAUCCGAAGAGGUGCUAAAGGAACAGCCAUAAAACUCCAACUGCAGUUGGCACGCAUCUCCUUUGGUGCCGUUUAUCACAGAAGUGGUUGGAAGCAAAACUCUACACCUGUGAACAUGAUGAUUUUGUGCUCCUGGCACCUCACACCUUGGGAAUUACUCUGCCAAAAUGAAGCAAGCUCUCAGACUCCUCAGUUCAACCCCCCCGAGCCCGAGGCCGCUUGCUCCACCAAAAUGUUCAAUGCCACAUUUGAAUAAACUGAAUAAAUCCAGCCAUACUGCUAAACAUAUGGUGGAGAAGGGAGUGUGGAGAGGAACAAAUAAAUGCCCUAAGCAUCUGGUGAAGGUGAUUGCUCCAGGGGAUGCCUUGGCCCUGGCUGGCCAUCCAUGGCUGAGCACUUCUUGUGGCAUUCAGACAGACUGUGACACUCCAGGGAAACCAGAAAUUCCAGCUUCUGCAGCAUGGUCAGGAGCAGAGGGAACUGGUGUGUUCUCAGCCCUGAACUAAGGAACUGGCAGGAUGUGGGGGGAUUGUUUGAGUGUUAAUUUUGAAGCUGUUCAGGAAAAAGCACAUCACUUUCCUUAUACCCUCCCUGGCCUCUCCUGGAGGCACAGGGGCUGUUGUGGCAGUACACCCCAGAGGAUUGCACAAGGUCCUGCCUCUCCUCUGCCAGCAGAGCUCCUGGUGGCACCCUGCUGCAGGAUGCAGCCUUGCUCAUGGCUUUGUGGGGUGCUUUGGCCCCCAGAACCUCAGGUGUCGGUGUGGGUUGGCAGCCACUCUGUUGGCUUGCUCCUGUUCUUGCUGCAGUCACUGGUAGCACCCCAUAACCUCUGGUCCCUGCCUUCCCUGCUGCCCUUUUGUGCCCUGCUCCAUCUUUGCUUCUCCUCCAAGGUGUCCUUGACUUGCUGUCUCUCAUUUCCCUUUGUCUCCUUAUCAGAUUUGAAGUCCAUCAAUGCAUCAAUCCCAAUCCCUGAGGUAACUCCCUCAGUUCUUGCCGAAAUACCAGGCUGCUGCCUUCUGCCCUCCAAGGGCACCUGGCAUUGGCAACUGUCCCUGCCCAUCACCCUGGGCCUCAGCAGCAGGGUGCCUUGUGCAUUUGCUUCAGAAAUGGUUUUAGUUUGUACCUCCAUGCUGUUGCUACUCUGG